rnacentral:rRNA from 1 species
UACGUAGGGCGUAAGCGUUGUCCGGAAUUAUUGGGCGUAAAGAGCGCGCAGGCGGUCGUUCAAGUCGCGUGUGAAAGCCCCCGGCUCAACUGGGGAGGGUCACGCGAUACUGAUCGACUCGAAGGCAGGAGAGGGUAGUGGAAUUCCCGGUGUAGUGGUGAAAUGCGUAGAUAUCGGGAGGAACACCAGUGGCGAAGGCGACUACCUGGCCUGUUCUUGACGCUGAGGCGCGAAAGCUAGGGGAGCAAACGGG